GAUGAACGCUAGCGGCAGGCCUAACACAUGCAAGUCGAGGGGUAACAGGGAAGAGCUUGCUCUUUUGCUGACGACCGGCGCACGGGUGCGUAACGCGUAUACAACCUACCUUUUAGCGGGGAAUAGCCCAGGGAAACUUGGAUUAAUGCCCCAUAGUAUAUAGGAAUCUCCUGAUUUUUAUAUUAAACAUUUAUGGCUAUUAGAUGGGUAUGCGUCCUAUUAGUUAGUUGGUAAGGUAACGGCUUACCAAGGCAGCGAUAGGUAGGGGUCCUGAGAGGGAGAUCCCCCACACUGGUACUGAGACACGGACCAGACUCCUACGGGAGGCAGCAGUGAGGAAUAUUGGACAAUGGGCGAGAGCCUGAUCCAGCCAUGCCGCGUGCAGGAAGACUGCCCUAUGGGUUGUAAACUGCUUUUACAGAGGAAGAACCACCCCCACGUGUGGGGGUUGACGGUA
rnacentral:rRNA from 1 species